rnacentral:rRNA from 1 species
GACGAACGCUGGCGGCGUGCCUAAUACAUGCAAGUAGAACGCAGUUGCGAACGGGUGAUUAACGCGUAGGUAACUGCCUGGUAGCGGGGGCUAAAUAUUGGAAACGAUAGCUAAUACCGCAUACUACCAGAUUUACCUGCGUUGUAUUAGCUAGUUGGUGGGGUAACGGGUUACCAAGGCAACGGUACAUAGCCGACCCUGGGGUGUGGACGGCCAACCUGGGAAUGGUGACCGGCUCAGACUCCUGCGGGGGGGCGCAGUAGGGAAAUAUCGGCAAUUGGGGGAACCCUGACCGAGCCACGCCGCGGGAGUGCAGAAGGUUUUCUGAUCGUAAAGCUCUGUUGUUAAGGAAGCGUUACGUACACAGAAAGGGACGGCUAACUACGUGCCAGCAGCCGCGGUAAUAC